ACACUUAAACCGCCAGGGAACUACGAGCUUUAGCUUAAAACCCAAAGGACUUGACGGUGUCCCACCCAACUAGAGGAGCCUGUCCUAUAAUCGAUAAUCCACGUUUUACCUAACCCUUUUUUGCCUUAUCAGCCUGUACACCUCCGUCGUAAGCCUACCAUAUGAACGAAAAAUAGUAGACUAAAGGAUUUUUACAUCAUAAUGACAGGUCAAGGUGCAGCUUACAAAAUGGUAGAGAUGAGCUACAAUUUCUAAAUUAGAACACACGAAAUACUGCAUGAAACACAGUCAUGAAGGUGGAUUUAGCAGUAAGUGGGAAGUAGAGAGCCCCACUUAAAUCGGCCCUGGGACG
rnacentral:rRNA from 1 species